rnacentral:rRNA from 1 species
GUCAAUUACUCUUUCCUACUGGUUACUCGACUCUGUUCUUUAUUGCAUGGAGUAGUGUCGCAAGGCAUCGCUUAGUAUUUUAUUGCUUUUAGAUGUAGUAAUUGGGUAAAACUGGUUAUAAAACCUAAGGGAUCACAGUAAGGUAUUAAGUGGGGUUCCAGUUCAUUUACUUUGAGUAAAUUAGAGUGUUCAAAGCAGCCUGUAUGGGCAUUGAAUAGAUUAGCAUGGGAUAAUAGAAUAGGAUUCUUGUCUAUUUAUUGGUUUAUAGACUUAGAAUAAUGAUUAAUAGGGAUAGUUGGGGGCACUUGUAUUCAAUAGUCAGAGGUGAAAUUCUAGGAUUUAUUGAAGACAAACUUCAGCGAAAGCAUUUGCCAAGGAUGUUUUUCAUUAAUCAAAGAACGAAAGUUAGGGGAUCGAGACGAUUAGACACCGUCGUAGUCUUAACUAUAAACUAUAG